GCAAGUCGAGGGAGAACUAUUCGCUUCGUAAGAAGUGGAUAGGGAAACCGGCGAACGGGUGAGUAUCACGUGAGAAACCUGCCCUGAAGAUCGGGAUAGCCCGGGGAAACCCGGAUUAAUACCGAAUACCUUCAUUGGAUCGCAUGUUCCGUUGAAGAAAUGCUCAGGCGCUUCAGGAUGGUCUCGCGGCCUAUCAGCUUGUUGGUGAGGUAACGGCUCACCAAGGCUCCGACGGGUAGCUGGUCUGAGAGGACGAUC
rnacentral:rRNA from 1 species